AAAUGUGGUACUUUUAUAGCAGGUACACAUUGGGCGUUUUGAAACGCGCGAUUUGCUAACGCGCGUUUUGAGAACCCCG